CUUUCUGUUCAACGAACGCACUAAUGCAAUCACCGUCAUCACUCAUCGUCCCGAUCCGUUUCCGAACAAACACAAACAGAAACACACAAAAAAGCAUUAUUAAUUUUAAUAAUUAAAACCUUCCCCCAUUUCUUUCCUCUGUGUGCCUCUCUCUAUAUAAUAUCGUCCAAACGAGCCGUCCAAGCGCUACUCCUGAGAAUUAUAUGUCGAGAGCGAGAGAGAGGAGAGAGGGAAGACGUGUCUCUGUUGCUACUCUGUGUACUCGGUCGCAGAUCUCGAAACCCUUGCUUUUUUCUUCUCCUUUAUCAUUGGAGUUUCUGUCAAGAUUCUAGUGUUUUCCUUCAAGAAAGUGGUGGUUCGCGAUCAUUUCUAUCCGUUUUGUUUUACUCUCGACGUUCUUAUUUGUUUGAGGAAGAUUGGAAUCGUUUGUUAUACCUUCUUCAUUUCGUGGGAUUUUUAGUGCUCCAGCUCGUUCUUACUGAUUUCCGAUCUGUUUCCGGCGCUGAUUUCGUCUGCAUUGAGUCUUGGAUUGUUUCCGAGGGAGUUCUGGUACAUUUAUGUGCCAUAUUUUGGGGAGAGAGGUAGGUGUUGUCGUUUCUGAGUGAAAAUUUGUGUUCGCGAGGAUUGUUAGGUGAUAUUUUGAGACGAUGACGUGGUCUUAGAGAGGAAUGUGUGUGCGACAGCGAGGUUGAUAGCGAGUGAGAACAGGAGAGUAUGGAUGAUAGAGGAGGGUCAUUUGUUGCUGUAAGGAGGAUUUCUCAAGGUCUCGAAAGGGACACCACCUGCCAUUCAAAUUCUGCUGAGGUUGUGGCAGGAUCAGCAGCAUGGCUUGGCCGUGGUCUUUCUUGUGUCUGUGCACAAAGGAGAGAGGGUGAUGCUUCUCGUCUUUCAUUUGAUUUAACGCCAGCCCAGGAGGAAUGUUUACAGAGGCUGCAGAGCCGUAUAGAUGUUGCCUACGAUAGUUCAAUCCCUGAGCACCAGGAAGCUUUGAAGGCAUUAUGGAAUGCUGCCUUUCCUGAAGAAGAACUUUGUGGUUUAAUAUCUGAGCAAUGGAAGGAAAUGGGGUGGCAGGGAAAGGAUCCAUCAACGGAUUUUAGGGGUGGAGGUUUUAUAUCACUAGAGAAUUUGUUAUAUUUUGCUCGGAAUGUUCCGAAAUCUUUCCAGGAACUUCUUCGAAAGCAAGAAGGUGAUCGGUCAGUGUGGGAAUACCCAUUUGCUGUAGCUGGUGUGAAUAUUACAUUUAUGCUGAUUCAGAUGCUUGAUCUUGAAGCAGUAAAGCCACGAACAAUGGUGGGGGCAACUUUCUUGAAGUUUCUUGCAGAAAAUGAAUCAGCAUUUGAUCUUCUCUAUUGUAUCACUUUCAAGCUGAUGGAUCAUCAAUGGCUUUCCAUGCGUGCAUCAUACAUGGAUUUCAAUGUAUGUAUAUUCCUGCCAAGAAGUUUGUUAUAGAUUUGGAAUAUGGCUUUGUUUUUACCAAAGUUGGGUUUUCCAUGCGUGCAUCAUACAUGGAUUUCAAUGCGGUUAUGAAAUCCACUCGCCGACAGUUGGAGAGGGAGCUUUUGCUUGAAGAUAUUUCACGGUUAGAGGACUUGCCCUCAUACGGCCUUCUUGCGCGAUAAAUUAGCAGCUCUUGGACUUUUAACAAAGAAUGGCUGCUACUGGUAGCUAGAGCCCCGCCAUCACUUGCUCAUUGUCUUUGCCUGGGAUUUGCCACUUUUCUCUAUCCCUUUUCCUUUCAACAUGGUGUUCUGUAACAAUGACAUGGUGCUCAUCAUAAUCCAUGCCAACUAAUAUCUACUUGAGCAUAAAAAAACGUUCUCUAAUAUCCUUCUUAUUGAUGAAAGGUAGUUUUUAAUGAAGUUUGUGAGGUUCAGAAGAUUA